rnacentral:rRNA from 1 species
CCUACGGGAGGCAGCAGUGAGGAAUAUUGGUCAAUGGACGAGAGUCUGAACCAGCCAAGUAGCGUGAAGGAUGACUGCCCUCUGGGUUGUAAACUUCUUUUAUAUGGGAAUAAAAUGUUCCACGUGUGGGAUUUUGUAUGUACCAUAUGAAUAAGGAUCGGCUAACUCCGUGCCAGCAGCCGCGGUAAUAAGGAGGAUCCGAGCGUUAUCCGGAUUUAUUGGGUUUAAAGGGAGCGUAGGUGGGUUGUUAAGUCAGGUGUGAAAGUUUGCGGCUCAACCGUAGAAUUGCAUUUGAAACUGGCAGUCUUGAGUACGGUAGAGGUAAGCGGAAUUCGAGGUGUAGCGGUGAAAUGCUUAGAUAUCACGAAGAACUCCGAUUGCGAAGGCAGUUCACUGGACCGCAACUGACGCUGAGGCUCGAAAGCGUGGGUAUCAAACAGGAUUAGAUACCCUUGUAGUC